CGUAGGGGCGAGCGUUAUCCGGAAUUAUUGGGCGUAAAGCGCGCGCAGGCGGCUGAUUAAGUCAGGUGUGAAAGGCUGCGGCUCAACCGCAGAGCGGCACCUGAAACUGGUCGGCUUGAGUGCAGGAGAGGGAGCGGAAUUCCCGGUGUAGCGGUGGAAUGCGUAGAGAUCGGGAGGAACACCAGUGGCGAAGGCGGCUCUCUGGCCUGUAACUGACGCUGAGGCGCGAAAGCGUGGGAGGCAAACAGGAUU
rnacentral:rRNA from 1 species